UGGUGAAUCAACCAAUCUAUGGAACAUACCACCCUGAUUAUCAAAAGUAAAUCAGACGCAAGCGGUGAAAAAAGAAGAACCGAAGAUAUCCAAGAACCAAUUCUAGUCUGACGGUGUAAUUACAGAGAAUUUGUUAAUACGUUCAGCUAUUUCUAUUGCACUGACAACAGUAUUAAACUUUAACUUCUUAGAAUAAGUAUUUCUUGAAGAAAGAAGCUAAUAGCUCUUUUUAAAGAUUAAAACCGACUGGAGACAUUCAAUGCAACAAUUUGCUGCGAAAAGGUUCUGGGGAGAUAGCGAUAUAUCGAUAGAAAAUUUUGUACCCGGACUCUUAUAUUCCGAUUUUGCCAGCAAACUCUGAGCCUGGCUGCAACACACAGUAACGAGAUGCGCAAAAUAUAUAAAGCCUAAAAUCAGUUUCUAUAAGUUUAUAAACUAUCUGAUGCUAAUAAGAUAUUCAACUCUGAGCAAUCAAUGCCAAACUACCUCAAAUAGCGCAAAUGCGUUACGGUGUUAGGUUUUGAAAUUCGCUUGUCAAUCCGUUUUAAUAAACGUGGAUCCUUUGAACAAUCCAAUUAUAUUAGGCAAAUGGUAUAGCCUUGAUUUUUAGUGUCGGUAAAAGGAUGUACCUAAUCAGCGAAAAACUCAAGACAGGAAAAAAAGUUCCGAGGCUUUGUUUUAGCGUAGAUAGUCGAGCAAGCCGUCAGCAAUAGACUCGGGAAUUUUUCUUUAAAACCUCAGAAAGGUUGCAUGAGUUUGUGGUACCGAUCGUUAUAGUUAGUUUUGUAAGCACACAAAAUUUAGUAAUGUACUUGUCGCUUAACUUAAUACAAUGUUUGUUUCUGAAACGAUGAACCAGGUUUCAGCUUCCUAAUUGUCGGUACAGAGGAUAAACUUGAUUUUUUAUAAUCCAACUUGGAACACAGUUCAAGCAAUCGUCGUUUUUGUAUAUCGAUAAGCAAGUAGGAGGAGCUCAGGCUUUAUUAGAAAAGAUGCUACAGAUAACACCAUUCAAAUGUGUCAUUCGGUGUUAAAAACACAUAAAAAUUACUGUCAAAGUAGACCUGAUAAAAUCAGUCUAAAUAACCAUAAUUGCAAAGAUAUUCGUUAAGUGCCAAUAUGAAUGACUUUACCAACAAUAAGGUAGCCAGUUUAAAUCAACCGUUAUAGACCCUGUCAAUUGAAGUUUUAAGCAUUGGUUCAUACUGACCCCUUUCCAAAUUACUAUGGAUUAUUUGGCCUGAGGUAAAUCCCAACUCUUUUGCUCAUUUAUGUCUAAUUGACAACGAUUUAUUUUUGUUUGAGCUCACUCUCUCAUCAAAGUGUUUUCUUAAACCGAAAACUCUUACAAGGGAAUCAAAUUAAUUAAAAAUUAUUUUUGAAUAAGAUUUUGCAUGGCUCAAUAAAAUAUGUGGUAUAUGGUUAAUGAUAAAACAUUAU